GACAGAGGUUGCAAACGUUGCUCGGAAUUACUGGGCGUAAAGCGCGUGUAGGCGGUCACGCAAGUCAGGUGUGAAAGCCCAGGGCUCAACCCUGGAAGUGCACAUGAUACUACGUGGCUGGAGUACUGAAGAGGAGAGCGGAAUUCCCGGUGUAGAGGUGAAAUUCGUAGAUAUCUGGAGGAACACCGGUGGCGAAGGCGGCAUCCUGGACCGGCAUUGACGCUGAGGCGCGAAAGCCAGGGGAGCAAACGGG
rnacentral:rRNA from 1 species